rnacentral:rRNA from 1 species
UAAUACAGAGGGUGCAAGCGUUAAUCGGAAUGACUGGGCGUAAAGGGUGUGUAGGUGGUCGUUUAAGUUAGAUGUGAAAUCCCUGGGCUUAACCUAGGAACUGCAUUUAAUACUGGACGGCUAGAGUAUGGGAGAGGUAAGUGGAAUUUCCGGUGUAGCGGUGAAAUGCGUAGAUAUCGGAAGGAACACCAGUGGCGAAGGCGGCUUACUGGCCUAAUACUGACACUGAGACACGAAAGCGUGGGGAGCAAACGGG